AGAGUUUGAUCAUGGCUCAGAUUGAACGCUGGCGGCAUGCCUUACACAUGCAAGUCGAACGGCAGCACGGGAGCUUGCUCCUGGUGGCGAGUGGCGAACGGGUGAGUAAUGCAUCGGAACGUGCCCUGAAGUGGGGGAUAACGCAGCGAAAGUUGCGCUAAUACCGCAUAUUCUGUGAGCAGGAAAGCAGGGGAUCGCAAGACCUUGCGCUUUAGGAGCGGCCGAUGUCGGAUUAGCUAGUUGGUGGGGUAAAGGCUCACCAAGGCGACGAUCCGUAGCGGGUCUGAGAGGAUGAUCCGCCACACUGGGACUGAGACACGGCCCAGACUCCUACGGGAGGCAGCAGUGGGGAAUUUUGGACAAUGGGCGAAAGCCUGAUCCAGCCAUGCCGCGUGCAGGAAGAAGGCCUUCGGGUUGUAAACUGCUUUUGUCAGGGAAGAAAUCUUCUGGGUUAAUACCUCGGGAGGAUGACGGUACCUGAAGAAUAAGCACCGGCUAACUACGUGCCAGCAGCCGCGGUAAUACGUAGGGUGCGAGCGUUAAUCGGAAUUACUGGGCGUAAAGCGUGCGCAGGCGGCUUUGCAAGACAGAGGUGAAAUCCCCGGGCUCAACCUGGGAACUGCCUUUGUGACUGCAAGGCUAGAGUACGGCAGAGGGGGAUGGAAUUCCGCGUGUAGCAGUGAAACGCGUAGAUAUGCGGAGGAACACCAAUGGCGAAGGCAAUCCCCUGGGCCUGUACUGACGCUCAUGCACGAAAGCGUGGGGAGCAAACAGGAUUAGAUACCCCGGUAGUCCAA
rnacentral:rRNA from 1 species